AACAGUACCCUACUGUGUCAACUCUCAAAACCAAACAAAAGGACACCCGUAGCUGCCACUAAUGGUGUUGAUCCCCUCCAAAGAAUAAAGAGUUGAGGUCCCUCCAGCUCAUGAACCCUAGAACCCUCCUUUUUCUCCUAUAAAACAACACCAAAACCCUACCUAGAAGAGAUGACUUAGACAAGAAACCCUAUCUUUCAAGCCCUAGCAGCCACCAUCUCUGCAACCAUAAAACCACCAUAGGAGAGAGCAGAACAAAAGGAAAAGGAAGCAACAAGAAGAAAAAGAAACUACAAUAAGAGAGAGCUGAGAGAGGGAAUACAAUAGAGAGAGAAGAAAACAAAAGGGAGAAGAAGGCAGAAGCAAGAAGGAGAAGCCUAGUGACAUAUGGUACUGCAAGUAUAACACUAAGCUGUCAUUUUAGUUUUCCUUGUUUUCAACCUGGCUAAAUCUUUUUUGGUUCUUCUUUCUGUUUUUGUUCCUUUUAUGAUAUAUUUUCUUAUCACAUAUGGUAAGUCUAUGAGUGCUUGAUGUUUAUCUUAA